UACAGAGGGGGCUAGCGUUGUUCGGAAUUACUGGGCGUAAAGGGCGCGUAGGCGGCCCGCUAAGUCGAACGUGAAAUCCCCGGGCUCAACCCGGGAACUGCGUCCGAUACUGGAAGGCUCGAGUGCGGGAGAGGGAUGUGGAAUUCCAGGUGUAGCGGUGAAAUGCGUAGAUAUCUGGAGGAACACCGGUGGCGAAGGCGGCAGCCUGGACCGACACUGACGCUGAGGCGCGAAAGCCAGGGGAGCAAACGGG
rnacentral:rRNA from 1 species